GCUGGGCGUGGUGGUGCGUGCCUAUAGUCCCAGCUACUCGGGAGGCUGAGGUGGGAGAAUCGCUUGAACCUAGGAGUUCUGGGCUGUAGUGUGCUAUGCUGAUCAGGUGCCUGUACUAAGUUCAGCAUCAAUAUGGUGACCUCCCGGGAGAGGGUGUCAGCAGGUUGCCUAAGGAGAGGUGAAUUGGCCCAGGUUGGAAAUGGAGCAGGUCGAAACUCCCGUGUUGAUCAGUAGUGGGAUCACACCUGUGAAUAGCCACUGCCCUCCACACUCCAGCCUGGGCAACACAGCAAGACCCCAUUUCUU
ensembl:misc_RNA Metazoa_SRP Metazoan signal recognition particle RNA